rnacentral:rRNA from 1 species
UACGUAGGGAGCAAGCGUUGUCCGGAAUCAUUGGGCGUAAAGCGCGCGUAGGCGGUCUGUUAAGUGGGAUGUGAAAUCCCCGGGCUUAACCUGGGAAUUGCAUUUCAAACUGGCCGACUAGAGUACGGUAGAGGGAGGUAGAAUUUCCUGUGUAGCGGUGAAAUGCGUAGAUAUAGGAAGGAAUACCAGUGGCGAAGGCGGCCUCCUGGAUCGAUACUGACGCUGAGGCGCGAAAGCGUGGGGAGCAAACAGGG